rnacentral:rRNA from 1 species
AGCAGCCGCGGUAAUUCCAGCUCCAAUAGCGUAUAUUAAAGUUGUUGCAGUUAAAAAGCUCGUAGUUGAAUUUCGGGAUCAAUGCGUCGGUCGUGCCUUCGGUACGUACUAGCGUCAUUGAUUCCUCCCUUCUGAAGAACCGUGAUGUCAUUAAUUUGGUGUUACGGGAAAUCAGGACUGUUACCUUGAAAAAUUAGAGUGUUUAAAGCAGGCUAACGCUUGAAUACAUUAGCAUGGAAUAAUGAAAUAGGACGUUCGAACCUAUUUUGUUGGUUUCUAGGAUCGACGUAAUGAUUAAUAGGGAUAGUUGGGGGCAUUAGUAUUCAAUUGUCAGAGGUGAAAUUCUUGGAUUUAUUGAAGACUAACUACUGCGAAAGCAUUUGCCAAGGAUGUUUUCAUUAAUCAAGAACGAAAGUUAGGGGAUCGAAGACGAUCAGAUACCGUCGUAGU